GUGGGUAGUUUGACUGGGGCGGUCUCCUCCCAAAGAGUAACGGAGGAGCACGAAGGUUAGCUAAUCCUGGUCGGACAUCAGGAGGUUAGUGCAAUGGCAUAAGCUAGCUUGACUGCGAGCGUGACGGCGCGAGCAGGUGCGAAAGCAGGUCAUAGUGAUCCGGUGGUUCUGAAUGGAAGGGCCAUCGCUCAACGGAUAAAAGGUACUCCGGGGAUAACAGGCUGAUACCGCCCAAGAGUUCAUAUCGACGGCGGUGUUUGGCACCUCGAUGUCGGCUCAUCACAUCCUGGGGCUGAAGUAGGUCCCAAGGGUAUGGCUGUUCGCCAUUUAAAGUGGUACGCGAGCUGGGUUUAGAACGUCGUGAGACAGUUCGGUCCCUAUCUGCCGUGGGCGCUGGAGAAUUGAGGGGGGCUGCUCCUAGUACGAGAGGACCGGAGUGGACGCAUCACUGGUGUUCGGGUUGUCAUGCCAAUGGCAUUGCCCGGUAGCUAAAUGCGGAAGAGAUAAGUGCUGAAAGCAUCUAAGCACGAAACUUGCCCCG
rnacentral:rRNA from 1 species